CUUGGCGACCAUAGCGUUGUGGACCCACCUGAUUCCAUGCCGAACUCAGAAGUGAAACGCAAU
rnacentral:rRNA from 1 species